rnacentral:misc_RNA from 1 species
CUAAAUGCAUUUGAGCCAAUUGCCAACCAUAAAGGGUUCUUAUUUUACACAGGGUUAAAAAUUGAGGUGAGGUGAGGUAAACAAAGAGUCUAUGUAAGUGAUCAGUAGCCCUAGGUUGCUUAAAAUUCAAACAUGAAAAAUAGGAACUAGUAAGUACCACAAUCAUGAGAAAGGUUUGCCCUAGUUUCAGUGACAUUCUUCAUAUACACUCCACAAACCACAGUUAAAAGAACCAGAACUAUUAUAAGGGUUUUAAUCCUCCUUCCAUCCCUUCAAAGAUGGGAUUCCUUUAUCUCCUUUUAUUUCCAUAAUAAGGAUGGAAAGACAUCUUUCGGAUGUAUUGGUUUGGUUUGCUAAUGAAUUUGAUAUAUUUAUCCUGCAAUAAGAAUGAAUUAGGAAAAAAUAAAAUGCCAAGGACAAGGAAAGCUUUCACUAAAAUUGACACCAAUAUGAAAGGUUGGGUACAGAAUUGAUAAACAAGAAGAAUUGGUCAUGAUGACAAAUUUGAGCAAAGGGUUGGGAUUCUUUUUUUGGUUGUUAACACAACCUUUCAUAUUUUGGAUAUUCAUUCUCUUGAGCAAUAACCAUCAUUAUCUUAGGCAACAACUUCAUGGAACAGAGUUCAGGAUAAUGAGUCUGCAUUUUGUAGUGAUCUUUGAUGAUGAAACUUUACCAAAACUUGUAAUAAUAUGCUUGCAUUGAUGGCAAUGAAAUCUACUCUCAUAAAGGGCUAAAUUGUCAUCCAAAUACAUGAAAAUGAGAUGCAAGAUUGCUCUAAAUAAUUCAGAUUGAUUUAAAACCAGAAAAGACAAUAUAGCAGCAAAACCUGUCCGAGGCACUUUCACUCUUCCAAGCUUGUGGCUCAUGUAUUGCAGUCUAUAAGUAGGUGACUGACAAUGCUCAUAGUCAUAGAAAAUUGACAUAAAGAGAACUUUCAGGGAUGUAUCUCUGGGCAGUGGUACCAGUAGCCAGUAGCCAGUAGCCAGAAAGGAAAGGUGCAUAAAGGAAAAUCCAUGGCCUCAUGGUGUUUAAUCUUAAGAGGUAAAUCCAAAACCAAAUCAGUAUGUAAUCCAGGGUCCAAAGUCCAAACACAAGAAGUUCAGUUACCUUUCCUGUUUUCAAACAUCUUCCUAAAAGUGCACUAACCACAGCCACGUGACCAGCAAUUGACAAAGACAGCUUUGUAUUAAGUCAUCAUGUAAUAAAAGUAUGAACUGCCUGGCCAGUAGUCAGCAACCAAAAGGCUCUUAACUUGAUGGUGGUACCUUCCAUCCUAUUCACUACCUCGGCUUGAGCCCAAGAUCUAAAGCCUUAUUUCCAGUAUGACAAGCAGUUCUGACAACUUUAAAAGGUCAUGCUGCAUAACUAUUUCAAACAAAUGUGUGGAUGUUUAGCCAUCUAUGGAUCAUCAUCAUACGGAACAUCUGGGGCACAUGAUGACGGAAGAAUCAAGAUAGGCCUUCCAUUAUGUUGGAAUUCAGAAAGCAUGGAAGCAUAAGUUUGUUGACAGUCCCAUGUAUUCCCAGUCAAGUCCAACUGCUGAAGGUUACCUUUUGCAGCCUUUAGAGCAGAGCAUAUUAUGGUUAAGGAUUCUGCAGGCAUAAGAUUAUAAGAUGCAUUAACUACAACAAGUUCUGGAGCUGAUAACAUGAGCUUGGACAAAAAUUUUGCAGUUUCAAGCCCACCACGAUUUUUGCUUAUGUUGAUCUUGACAAGCUUCAAUUCUACCAUCAGCCCUUUUUGCAGUUCCUGAAAACCAGCUGACCCCAGUCCAAUGCCUCCAAUAUUGAGUUCACUAAUAGAUGUGGCCAAAAACUUUCCCAAAGCUCCAGCUACUAGACUGCCAAGGCCAUUAUCUGCAAGCGUGAGAGAGCACAGAGGUCUUUUCAGGGACGAAAGGGUGUCUAAAAGUUGAGUCACUCCAUCGCAGGAAAGCUCACAAUUCUCUAAUUUCAGCUCCGCCAAUCGACUGCAUCUUUCUGGAGCCUCAACAAAAUAAGGGAUCAAACAUCUGCAAAGCUAAACUGUUGUUUCAAAACUUUUGCUUACCGCGUUAAAAACGUAUAAUUGAUGAUCAACUAACCUGAUUCCUUCAUCCUCAAUGGGAUUGUCACUUAAAUCCAGAAUCUCCAAAUUAGGCAUGUAAAAAAGUGCAUAUCUAAGACUCUCCACAUCAUACUUAUGAAGAUUAUUUCCCCUGAAACCAUAUAAGGAUUUCCACAAUAAACACUCUUCAUAAUGUUAUUAAUGGUUGCUUUGUAAGGCAAUAUAUAUCUGUUGUGCCCUAAACUAAAAGGUGGUGGAAAAUUACUAUUGUCACUUCAUAUCCUGCAAUUGGAAUUAGUUGAUUAAAGACAAAUAGUUGAAAAAACACAAAAGAAAGCUUGUAGCUAUAAUGUGAUGCAACUCAUACCUUAAAUUCAGCACACAUAAAGACUGCAAAGACUUUCCCGUCCCCAAAGAUGAUGGAAGCCUGCUUGAGGAUCCCCUGUUGAAAUUAGAAAGCCAUCCUGCUAUAUUGUUGUCUGAAAGGUCAAGGAUGGAUAUUCUAGAGGAAGCAUCAAUAAGCAUAGUAAAAAGCAUCUGUGCAAAAUUUCGGUCUAGGUGGUUGUCACAAAAUCGUAAUGAACACAAGGACCUUCCCGAAGAAAGAAAUGAUACAAGGGAAUAAGAUAAAGAAACUGCAUUAUUUUCAAGGAAGCUUGAUGUCCUGAUCGAGAAGUUCUGUAUGAUGUGUGCUUGUUUCCCUUUUAUUUCUAGACAACCACAUAUUGCAUUGACAAAAGUUGAUGAAAGCUUGCAGUGAAUAAAUUCAAGUGAUGUCAAUGUUUCAUUGUUUUGAAUUAGCAGUUGGCAUAAUCCAUCAACCUGUUAGUUUUGAAUUAUAAUCAGUUAACUAACAUUCAUCAUUCAUACAAACAAAAAACUCAUACUUUAAUUAAAUUUAGACAGCUGGUAAUGUAAUUUACAACAUCACCCCAGAAGUUGCCUGGCCAUAUUAUGAAAAUGAAUGUUUUCCAUUUCUCGUAACAUAGAAUAUAAGAGCAUACACCAAUGUUUCAUAAAUGCUAUAACAUUAUAUGGUUGUACCAAGAGAUUACAUUCUAAUUUAUGAGAAGAGAGAUAAGGCAAUCUAGACAGACAUCUGGGUCCACCAAAAAUCUCAUUGCUGCAACUCUUUACAUCUUCAGUUACUGUUCUAAACAUAUAUAUAUAAUCAAAAUUCAGUGGCCUGGACAGCAGAAGCAGCAAUGUUGUUCUGUUGUCAACUACUAUACUUGUCUCAGUUUAUUUUGUUUCUCCUCAUUCUGCUUUUUAAGUUUAUUUCAGAGGUUUACAGUUUCUAAAUAACAGAUAAAGUUAUCUGUUCUGCAAUCUCCCUUCCAAACCUACCACAAUAUCCUAGAACAAAUGUUAAGAAGAACUAUGCGUACAUGUUCCUUGGAUCUGAUCCACCGCAGUGAUAAACUUUGCAAUUUGCUGUUUCUCAGUAAUUUCUGCAACAGAAAAGAAGCAAUUAAUAUCAGGCCACUUAUCGUUCUUGUACAAUGCAAAUGUACAGAAAAAAACAAGUAGUAUGAGAUGAAUGCAAGUAAAUGUACAAGAAUGCAACAAUACAGAAGCGGAAAGAAAGAAAAAAAAAAACUUUUAAACUUGUUCCAGAGAGCUUAUUGAUGGGAAAAUACAAAAUCAAAUUCCAACUGAAAAUUGAACCUUGUGCAUUCAUGGAACUACAUUCUAGGGGGCAUAAAAAGGAUAUAUCUAGAUUUUCACCCAGAAAAACAUGGGAAUACAAAGAUUAGAUGGUUUAGUGAAAAUAGCAAUAAUAGCAUUAGCGUGCCUUGCAAACCUUUGAAAACCCCUCCUACAGAUGUUGGCAGAAGACAUCCCCAGUUGCAAAUAAAUCGCAUCUCUUUUUAAGGGUAUUCAAAUUGGCAACUUUCAGCUUGCAUGAAUGUGAACAAGAGCCAUAGUGCAUAUGCCAGUAAAUCCACUCAAAACAACAUAUUUCAGCAGAUGUAGAUAACAAAAUUUGAUGAUGAAGUAAUUGGUGGUUUAAAAACAUACACAAGUUUCUGCAACACACAGCACAUUUUGAAGUCUCAGAGAUCUAGCAUAGUGCCCAAAUUGUUGGAAGUGGUAAGAUAAUUUCAAAUAGAUUGAAUGAUUCAAAUGCCCUUCACAACCAAUGCAUAUCAAUAUAUCAUCUGAAAUUUUUAUCUCUCCUAUACAUCCAUCAAAUGACGGGAUAGAUGCUAAUGCUGCAGCUUCAUCAAGGCAACUGUGUCUUUCAAGUUAAUAUAAGAACACUACAAAUGAACAAACGCAAAAAAGAAGAGGAAGCAUGUGAUUCAUCCAACAAUGUACUUUUGCAAAUGUGUUUGCCAAUACAUAUGCUGCCAGUGAACUAGCUCAGGAUGGUCAACAAGCCGAGGCCAGCGCUGCUUAAAUAACUUCUUCCAUGCUGUACUGAAGUUAUCACUUCUUCCACGCUUAGUUCCAACUUUUGGGGAACCAUCAGUACACUCAUAAUCAUCCGAGUUCUCAUAUGGCAUUUCAGCUUGUAACUUGUGCAAAGCCAAGGGAGGUAAUUUUGUGACCAAGAUAUCAAAUAAAUGGGAAGGAAGCUCAUAUAUAUCAGGCAAAACACCAUCUCCGCAAAGGAGCUGUCUUUUGAUUGCCUCCAUGCCCAGAGAGAUUAAAGAUGGAACUUCUGCCAUUUUUCGAGCUUGUAAUUAGGGUGUGAGUAUCUAAAAUGAAGACAAUAGUAGCAGUUUUCUGAGUUGGAGUUCGAGUCAAUUAGGGCGUGGAACAAAGGAGAU